GCUCUUUUACAUACACUGCCUGGCCAAAAAAAAAGUCGCCACCAAAACAAAAAAGGUAUCACACUCUAAUAUUUUGUUGGACCGCCUUUAGCUUUCAUUACGGCACGCAUUUGCUGUGGCAUUGUUUCAAUAAGCUUCUGCAAUGUCACAAGAUUUAUUGCCAUCCUGUGUUGCAUAUAUUUUUCACCAAGAUCUUGUAUUGAUGAUGGGAGAAUUGGACCACUGCACAAAGCCUUCUCCAGCACAUCACAGAGAUUCUCAAUAAGGUUAAGGUCUGGACUCUGGUGGCCAAACCAUGUGUGAAAAUGAUGUCUCAUGCUCCCUGAACCACUCUUAUUGAUGGAAUAACCUGGUCAUUCAGUUAGACAGUCAGCUGACCUCAUUCUUUGGGCACAUAAUGUUGCUGAACUUAGACUUGACCACCUGCAGCAACCCCAGAUCAUAGCACUGUCCCCACAGACUUAUACAGUAGGCACUAGGCAUGAUGGGUGCAUCACUUCAUCUGCCUCUCUUAUUACCCUGAUGCGCCCAUCACUUUGGAACAGGGUAAAUCUGGACUCAUCAGACCACAUGACCUUCUUCCAUUGCUCCAGAGUCCCAUCUUUAUCCUCCAUAGCAAAUUGAAGCCUUUUUUUUUUUCCGAUUGGCCUCACUGAUUAGUGGUUUUCUUAGGCUACACAGCUGUUCAGUCCCAAUCCCUUGAGUUCCCUCCGCAUAGUGUGUGUGGAAAUGCUCUUACUUUCACUAUUAUUCUUAUUAUUAUUGCCACUUAUAUAGCGCCAACAGAUUCCGUAGCGCUUUACAAUAUUUUGAGAGGGGGGAUGUAACAAUAAAUAGGACAAUUACAAGAAAACUUACAGGAACAAUAGGUUGAAGAGGACCCUGCUCAAACGAGCUUACAGACUAUAGGAGGUGGGGUAUUUGAAACAUUAGGACAAGAAAUACCAAGUAGGAGUGAAGCAGAGCUGGAGGAGAGAGCAAAGCACUGUCCCAUAGGAGAGAGCAGGAGACAGGUAUGUAAGGUAGAGAUUACUCUGGGAGGCCAUAAGCUUUCCUGAAG